GGAUAAUCUACCCUUUAGGACCGGGAUAACCCUGGGAAACUGGGGAUAAUACUGGAUAGGCAAUUAUUCCUGUAAUGGUUUUUUGUUUAAAUGUUUUUUCGCCUAAGGAUGAGUCUGCGGCCGAUUAGGUAGUUGGUUAGGUAAUGGCUUACCAAGCCGUUGAUCGGUACGGGUUGUGAGAGCAAGAGCCCGGGGAUGGAACCUGAGACAAGGUUCCAGGCCCUACGGGGUGCAGCAGGCGCGAAACCUCCGCAAUGUGAGAAAUCGCGACGGGGGGAUCCCAAGUGCCAUUCUUAACGGGAUGGCUUUUCAUUAGUGUAAAGAGCUUUUGGAAUAAGAGCUGGGCAAGACCGGUGCCAGCCGCCGCGGUAACACCGGCAGCUCUAGUGGUAACAAUUUUUAUUGGGCCUAAAGCGUCCGUAGCCGGUUUAAUAAGUCUCUGGUGAAAUCCUGCAGCUUAACUGUGGGAAUUGCUGGAGAUACUAUUAGACUUGAGACCGAGAGAGGUUAGAGGUACUCCCAGGGUAGAGGUGAAAUUCUGUAAUCCUGGGAGGACCGCCUGUUACGAAGGCGUCUAACUGGAACGGUUCUGACGGUGAGGGACGAAAGUUAGGGGCGCGAACCGGAUUAGAUACCCGGGUAGUCCUAACUGUAAACGAUGCGGACUUGGUGUUGGGGUGGCUUUGAGCUGCUUCAGUGCCGAAGGGAAGCUGUUAAGUCCGCCGCCUGGGAAGUACGGUCGCAAGACUGAAACUUA
rnacentral:rRNA from 1 species